GCGAUCCGGUGACGGAUGGGCAUGCGUGACAUUAGCUAGUCGGCGGGGUAACGGCCCACCGAGGCGACGAUGUCUAGGGGUUCUGAGAGGAAGGUCCCCCACACUGGUACUGAGACACGGACCAGACUCCUACGGGAGGCAGCAGUGAGGAAUAUUGGUCAAUGGGCUUACGCCUGAACCAGCCAAGUCGCGUGAGGGAAGACUGCCCUAUGGGUUGUAAACCUCUUUUGUCAGGGAGCAACGCCGGCUACGUGUAGCCGGACUGAGAGUACCUGAAGAAAAAGCAUCGGCUAACUCCGUGCCAGCAGCCGCGGUAAUACGGAGGAUGCGAGCGUUAUCCGGAUUUAUUGGGUUUAAAGGGUGCGUAGGCGGAAUGCCAAGUCAGCGGUAAAAUCGCGGGGCUCAACCUCGCUCCGCCGUUGAAACUGGCGUUCUUGAGUGGGCGAGAAGUAUGCGGAAUGCGUGGUGUAGCGGUGAAAUGCAUAGAUAUCACGCAGAACUCCGAUUGCGAAGGCAGCAUACCGGCGCCCAACUGACGCUGAAGCACGAAAGCGUGGGUAUCGAACAGGAUUAGAUACCCUGGUAGUCCACGCAGUAAACGAUGAAUACUAGCUGUUCGGGGCAAAUGAGCCUUGAGUGGC
rnacentral:rRNA from 1 species